AAAGCGCGACGAGAGGCGGCCGAGGCGGCCGGUGGGCGCGGCGCCAGCCCCGGCGGCGCGUUCCUGGCAGCGGCCCCUCCCCGCCGCGCGCUCCGCCCCCAACUUCUCAUUCACACUUUCCCCCCACCCCCCUCCCUUCUAAGAAGGCUGAUUUCUGGCAGAGGCGGGGGCGCCGCUUCGGGAGAGCGGGCAGUUCUAGGAGGCCGACCUGGAGAGCCUCCCGGUUCCCCUUCCCCUUUUCCCGGACCCCGCGGGGACACCCCCUCGCCGCCACCCGGGCCUCCCCGAGGGCCCAACUGCGGGUCAGGCGGCCCGGGCCAGCCGAAAGGGAAGUGGGGCUACCCCACAGCCAGGCAGCGGGGCUGGGGUCAGACCCGGGAGCCGGAGGUUGGAGACGUGCGACAGUCACCUGCGGGCAGAUUCCAGAGGGGAGACCCAGGGCUGCAGGGGACGCCCCUUCGUGGCAGCUACCCAGCCUCGGCCCACUGCCAGGCGGAGGCGAGAGGAUCACUUGAGCAUGGACAUUCAAGACCAGCCUGGGCAGCAAAUGUUACGUGGCUGCAUGACCAUACACUUCUGGGUAGAGCCCAGUGGAAGACAAAGAAGACUCAAGGAAUAGCCCUUGAGAUCCUGAACCAACUUUGAAGGCAGAGAAGUGGGCUAGAAGAAGUGGGGUUGGAGCCUCCACCAAGGACAAGAAGGCCUUAGCCCCCUGCUUCCAGCUCAAGCUGAAGUGGCUGUGAGCUGAGCUAAGAAGACCCCACUUCGCCAGGAGGAGUGCCUCACGCCUGUAAUCCCAGCACUUUGAAAGGCCGAGGCAGGUGGAUCACGUGAGGUCAGGAGUUUAAGACCAGCCUGGCCAACAUGGUGAGACCCCUUCUCUACUAAAAAUACAAAAAUUAGCCGGGAGUGGUGGCGCGCACCUGUAGUCCCAGCUACUCAGGAGGCUGAGGUGGAAGAAUCUCUUGAAUCGGGGAGACAGAGGCUGCAGCGGAGCUGAGAUAGUGCCACUGCAUUCCAGCCUGGGGGACAGAGUGAGACUGUCUCAAAAAAAAAAAAAAAAAAAAAAGAGAGAAAAGAACCCAUUUAAUUCUACCUGUGGGAGGUGGUUCAGGCAUUUGUGGAACUUUGCAAAUUGAAAACAUAGUUUGUGAAUACCUAAGACAGCCCCAUAGGUCAGCAUUCAAAAGGUGCAAUCAGGUGAGCCAGAGUCUUCCCCUCCUAUUCCCUGGCUUCCUGUGCCACCUGGGGCAUUUUUUUUUCUUUUCUUUUUUAUAGACCAGAAGAUGCAGGCUACUGUGGGCACAAUGCCUAUGAAUUAGCCCUGCUCUGCAAGAAGCAGCCAAAAAAAAAAAAAAAAGAUGCAGAGUGGUGGCAUGUGCACGGCUGAAUGCAGUCUGUAGACGCAGUAGCUGUGUGGCCUAUACAGAAUUAAAACAAUUUUUGAGAUAACAUUAAAAAAAUCUGGAAAUUUCACAUCUACAUUUGAAUCUGGAGCUUUCCUUGGAAAAACAGGACACUGGUAGCAGUGGACCACGUUCUGGCACAUUCCCGUUGGCCCUUCAGGUGGGGCAUGGGCUCCCCAGGUCAGCACAGGCCCACCCUCCAGGGUGACCACCCUCCCCUUCCUUCCCUUCCCUGCCAGGGUCUGCAGGCAUUGAGGCAGCAACUCAGCCUGACCUCUGCCUCUCCCAAGCUAAAGGGCAAGGAAGGCUAUGGACUUUGGGGCAUUUAUUUUGAGUCUCUUUCCUAAAUUCGAGGAGACUGGAAAUAAAUCAAGCCUGGCCAGGAGGAGGAGUCCAGCUCUUCCUGUCCCACUGGCCCUUCCCUCUUGGACCUCAUCUUAAGCAGGUAUGCUUGGCCUCUUCCUCUACUUCACUGUGGGGGCUGGGCAGGGAGAAGCUGCGGGGCGGGGGACCCUGGGAUUCCCUGGGACAUCACUGGGUUCCCCACGCUGUGGGCUGCUGGAUCUCGAGGCCUGCAGCUCCUUGCUCGGGUGGCGCUGGCGACCCGCCAUGCCACAAAAGGCUGAGAUUCCCCUGAAACCUAGAGCUGCUUUUAUCUCUCACUGGUGACAGAGAAACAAACCAGGAUGCUCUGCCCAAAAGGCAUUUCCAGAAAUCUGGGCUCUGGCUUCUUGUUGAUCAAAUGCCAGAACGUCCUGGGCUUCUUUGUGGCGAGGGAGCCAUUGAGCAUGGGUGUUUUGUUUUGCAGAUGACAAGAUUUUCGACACUGAAAAGUUUAAAUGAUGAAUGGAAGAGCUUUGAAUGGCUCCCACCCCUGCACAGGGAGGUUGCUGAUUCGAGCUUCUGUGUUUGUCAAAUUUGUUCCUCACAACUUUCGGCUCUUUUGCACCUCCCCUCGGCUCCAACAGGCUCAGGACCCUAGUCCCAGAAAUCCUCAUCUCUUCCAGUUUUAGGGCCACACAGGUCUAGCAGAGCCCAUGCCAGGUACAUGGCUACGGCUGUGGGGAAAGCUGUUUUUUGUCGUUGUUUCUUUUUUUAAGUACAGGGUCUCAGGCUGGGUGCAGUGGCUCAUGCCUGUAAUCCCAGCACUUUGGGAGGCCAAGAUGGGUGGAUCGCUUGAGCUCAGGAGUUCAAGACCAGCCUGGGCAACAUGGCAAAAGUCUGUCUCUAGAAAAAAUACAAAAAUUAGCCUGGCGUGGUGGUGUGCACUUGUAGUCCCAGCUACUUGGAAGGCUAAGGUGGGAGGAUGGCUUGAGCCCAGGAGAUGGGGGCUGCAGUGAGCCAAGAUCAUUCCACUGCACUCCAGUCUGGGCAACUGAGUGAGACCCUCUCUCAAAAAGAAAAAAAAGAAGAAAGAAAAAACACAGCGUCUCACUCUGUCACUCAGGCUGGAGUGCAAGUGGCUAUUCACAGGCGCGAUCUCGUUACUGACCUGCAUGAGAAUUUUCACCUGUCCCUUUUCCCACCUGGGCCGGUUCACCCCUCCUUGGGCAACCUGGUGGAGGCCACCAUAUUGAUGCUGAAUUUAGUGCGAACACCUGAUUGGCAUAGUGCACUGCAGCCGGAAUUCCUGGGCUCAGGUGAUCCUCCUGCCUCAGCCUCCCGAGUAGCUGAGACUAUAGGCACGUGCCACUGUGCACAGCAGAAAACUUUUCUAACCCAGGAGUUGGCAAACUAUGGGGCACGUGCUGGAGGACGAUUUUUGGAAAUAAGGUUUUAUUGAAUCACAGCCAGGCUCAUUCAAAUUGUCUGCGGCUGCUUUCACACCAGAGUUGAGUAGUUGCCACCGAGACCAUCUGGCCUACAAAGUAGAACAUAUUUAUUUAUUUAUUUGUGUGGGCUUUUUGUUUGUUUGUUUGGCUUUUUUGAGACAGGGUGUCACUCUGUCACCUAGGCUGGAGUGUAGUGGUGUGAUCACGGCUCACUGCAGCCUCCACCUCCCAGGCCCAAGUGAUCCUCCCACCUCAGCCUCCCAAGUAACUGGGACCACAGGCAUGAGCCACCAGGCUGAGUUCAUUAAAAAAAAUUUUUUUUUGUAGAAAUGGGGUUUCACUAUGUUGUCCAGGCUGGUCUCAAACUCCUGGUCUGAAGCCAUCUUCCCACUUGGCCUCCCAAAGUGUUGGGAUUACAGGCGGGAGCCACUGCUCCUGGCCUAAAAUAUUUACUAUUUGCCCUUUAAGAAAACAUAUGCUGGCCGGGCGCGGUGGCUCAUGCUUGUAAUCCCAGCGCUUUGGGAGGCUGAGGUGGGCAGAUUGUUUGAAGUCAGGGGUUCGAGACCAGCCUGGCCAAUAUGGAGAAACCCUGUCUCUACAGAAAUACAAAAAAAUUAGCUGGGCAUGGUGGUCCAUGCCUGUAAUCCCAGCUACGCUGGAGGCUGAGGCACGAGAAUCUCUCUUUUUUUUUUUUUUUUGAGAUGGACUCUCGCUCUGUCACCCAGGCUGGAGUGCAGUGGCACAAUCUCGGCUCACUGCAAGCUCCGCCGCCUGGGUUCACGCCAUUCUCCUGCCUCAGACUCCAGCUGGGACUGCAGGCGCCCACCACCACGCCCUGCUAAUUUUUUUUAUUAUUUUUAUUUUUAGUAGAGAUGGGGUUUCACCGUGUUAGCCAGGAUGGUCUCAAUCUCCUGACCUUGUGAUCCACCCGCCUCAGCCUCCCAAAGUCCUGGGAUUACAGGCGUGAGCCACCGCCACCACCAUGCCUGGCCGAGAAUCUCUUAAACUCAGGGUGGAGUUUGCAGUAAGCGGAGAUCACGCCACUGCAUUCCAGCCCGGGUGAUAGAGUGAGACUGUCUCAAAAAACAAAACAAAACUUGGCUGGGCUUGGUGGCUCAUGCCUGUGAUCCCAGCACUUUGGGAGGCUGGGGUGGGUGGAUCACCUGAGGUCAGUAGAUCAAGACCAGCCUGGUCCAUGUGGCGAAAUACUGUCUCUACUAAAAAUACAAAAAAUUAGCCGAACGUGGUAGCGGGCACCUGUAGUCCCAGCUACUCGGGAGGCUGAGGCAGGAGAAUCGCUUGAACCCAGGAGGCGGAGGUUGCAGUGAGCUGAGAUUGUGAUUGCACCAUUGCAUUCCAGUUUGAGUGACAGGGCGAGACUCUGUCUCCAAAAAAACAAAACAAAACCAAAACGUAUGCUGAGCCCUGCUUGGAGGGAAAAGAAGUCUGUCUUGUGCCAGGGAGAGCUGGAGUUAAGGCUUAGUGUUGGUGGGAACAGUAUCAGGGACUGUUGGGAAAGAUCAGAGUAACAGCUUAGCAGGGAGAGUAGAACUUGGGGAGGUGUUGGAGGGGGAUGAAGACAGGAAAAGGGCUGGGGCCUGUGGGGAGACUGGGGGCUCAGGGAAGCCAGGCCCAAAAGGUGGACUGAGCUUUCAGCCUUGCAAACUGAUAGCAAACAGUAGGUUAGAGGUCUUCCCAGGAGGCCAGGCCACCCUUGUCCCCACCAUUGGUGGAAAAGCAAGACCACAGUGGUUCCCUGUUCCAGCCGGGAGGCCCCAGAGCUCACUGCCUUUGGCCCUGUGUGCAUUCCUCACUCCAGCACUGGAGCCCGGUUCUGGGGCCAGAUCCUAUUCACAGUGCUCAGAGCACACAAAGAUUCAUGAGCUCGCCUUCUGAUGGGGCAGAGACAAAACACACAACAGCAAACGAUUAGGUCACUGUAAGGAAGAGGAAGAAACUAAAAUCCUGUUAUCCGGGUUGGAAAGCUGUUUCUAGGGGAGGGUGACAUUUGGACAGAGCUCAGGAUGAGAUGAGCUGAGGGAAGGUGCUUCUGAGCAGAGGGAAGAGCAAAUGUAAAGAUGCUGAGGAAGGCCGGGCGCGGUGGCUCACACCUGUAAUCCCAGUAGUUUGGCAAGGUCAGGAGUUCGAGACCAGCCUGGCCAACAUGGUGAAACCUUGUCUCUACUAAGAAUACGAAAAAAAUAGCUGGGGGUGGUGGCAGGCACCUGUAAUCCCAGCUACUCAGGGAGGCUGAGGCAGGAGAAUUGCUUGAACCCCCGAGGCAGAGGUUGCAGUGAGCCGAGAUUGUGCCAUUGCACUCCAGCCUGGGUGACAAGGGCAAAACUUUAUCUCAACAACAACAACAAAAAAGAUGCUGAGGAGGAUGCGGGCUUGAGAGAAGGCCAGGCCAGUGAGGCUGGACAUAUGACCAAGGGGAAGAAUAGAGGGAGAGGGAGGCAGCCACUCCCAGGUGGGCUCUGAAACCGUCUUUGCAAAAUUGUAACUGAGGAAAUUAUGACAGUAAAAGAAAUCAGACCUAAUCAACUCCAUCUUCUUUUUUUUUUUUUGAGAUGGAGUCUAGCUCUGUCGCCCAGGCUGGAGUACAGUGGCGUGAUCUCGGCUCACUCCAACCUCCGCCUCCCGGGUUCAAGCGAUUCUCCUGCCUCAGCCUCCUGGGUAGCUGGGACUACAGGCAUGUGCCACCCCGCCUGGCUAAUUUUUUUGUAUUUUUAGUAGAGAUGGGGUUUCACCGUGUUAGCCAGGAUGGUCUCGAUCUACUGACCUCAUGAUCCAACCACCUCGGCCUCCCAAAGUACUGGGAUUACAGGUGUAAGCCACUACACCCAGCCCCCAUCUUGCUUCUAGCCUUUAAGCAGUCCUUGUGGAUUCCUGGGUGUAGGCCGAACUAACUUUGGGAAGGAAUUCAGUUCAUGGUUUGACUCUGAAACAAAAUUGACAACAGCCCUUUCCCGAAAAGACCCCCUUCUUGCCUGGGGUCCAGUCGGCCUUUGCAGGACUAACAAAUUAGCUAUAAGAUUAGAAAUAAAAGUUUAGGGUCAUGCAGCCUCUGGCUCCAAGAAUCUGAACCUCCCCAAAUUGCUCCUGGGGAUAACAUCACUAUUGGAAAACCGCAGAUCAGUGCGUGAGAUAUUUUGCAGACUCUGCAUUCAUGGAUCAGCUGACACCACCCAGACCGGUUAUCUGGCUCAACCAGUUCUGCCAUCCCACCCAGGAAUAGAAGAUAGCAAGAAAAAUUCACUUCAACCUUCUACGAUUCCAUCUCCAACCUGACCAAUCAGCACUCCCCACUUCCCAAGCUCCUUUACUAGCCAAAUUCUCUUUAAAAACUCUGAUCCCCGAAUGCUUGGGGAGACUGAUUUGAGUAAUAAUAAAACUCUGGUCUCCCGCACAGUGGGCUCUGCGUGAAUCACUCUUUCUCCAUUGCAAUGCCUCUGUCUUGAUAAAUCAGUUCUGUCUGGGCAGCAGGCAAGGUGAACCCAUUGGGCAGUUACAGUUUCAUCCCAUCUCCAGCAAGCAGGCUGCAUUCCUUUUAACAAAGAACAGGCUCCUCACAAACAGCUGAACAGCCCCUCGGGACAGUUUCUCAUCUCUGGAGGCAGAAGGUGGGCCGGACAGCCACUUCCUCCCUUUGGAAUUUGCUAACAGCCCUGUGUUUGGGAGAGACCCUCUCUAGGCAAGCAAGCUAGAGGAGGAGGGGCCUUCCUCUUGUGUUACUGUGAUUUUCGGUUGAGGGAGUGAAUCACAGGCAGUGAGGCAUGGGCUGUUGGCUCAGGAUUUCCUGGUGUUUCCUGCCUGGGAGAGCUGCCCCACUCUCAGGGGCAGCAGCCCACCACUCCUUGACGUCAACUCUCCCUCCAAUGAAUGGGUUUCCUUUUCCGUUUGGGAAGACAUGGGAUCUGCCGUCAAUCCCGUCGACCCUGUCUUUCUAACCCUGGCACCUCCUGUCUGGGAAGGAGCGAGUGCGACUAACGAGAAGGCAGUGGGUGAGGGCAGGAGGGCGAGGGGGACUCAGAGGACAGAUGUCUUCUCGCCCGCAGUCAUUGAGAUGGGCAUCCAGAAACCCCAUCCACAGCAGUAGUGUCUGACCCAGAUUGAGAGCCGGCCACGCAGCUUUGGGACACCCUGAGUGCUCCCAGGCAGGCUCUCUGGGUCACCUUUGUUGUCUGGGAGGGUCUUAUCUCCUCUACUUGUUUUCAGUAACUAGCCCAGAUGAGACCUCCUGACACGAACAAUGCAUGUGCUGUCAUCCUGUAAAUGGAAUCAUUUAAAAAUUGCACAAUCUCUGAAAACCAUUAUUUAACAUUUUUGCAACCUCAAAAUGUAUGUGUCCCCAGCAAAGUCGUGGUUGCCUCACUCUGGUGAUAGCUCUGUCUGUUUUAAACUAGCCAUGAAGGCCAGAGGCUCUCGAUGUGUGGUUUCAGAAGGGACUGGGUCAUUCCUUGAUGUUAUCCUUAGGGUAAAUACUUAUUAGUGUGACUUACCAUGCUAUCAAUAUUGCUGUCUGUUGCUAGCAUUUCUUUAAGGUUGGGAAUUCCCAGUGAGCCUGUACCAUGGCUGUUUGUCUCAGUACCUCGCACAGCAAAGCACCCAUGCAGAAAAGCUGCCAGCUCCUUCUAGGAUGAUAACCAGGCUCCCAUAGCCCAUGUGGCGCUCACCGCUGAGCAUGACGGUGUAGCCAUACAGCAAGUGUUUACUCUGCAACAACCGUGGGCCAGGAACAGUGCAAAAGUGGAACCAUGCAAUGGAUGGCCUCAUUCUAGUUACUGGAAGUUAGGAAAUUUGAUGAUUCACCAUUUCUAACUUGGAAGGGUUGAAUCAAAUUCCAUGUAGUAUUAGUAAAGCUAUCUAAACGCAAAAGAAAACUUUAAGCCAAUCUGAAAUACUUGUUGAUUGUCAACAAUUUGGAAACUCCUUAAUGGCACCAAAUAACCAACAUUAACAUUUGGGGGUAUUUACUUUCAGUCUUUCUGUGUACAUACACGCAUUUCCUCUUUCUUCCUCUCCUUUAAUGAAAUGAGAUGGUCUCUACGCUACUCCUUGGUAAUUUGGCUUUUACACUUAAUGUCAUUAAAUAUUCUUCCAGAACAUGUUAUUUUUAUGAUUGUGUGGUCUUCCAACAUACCGAUGUAUCAUUAUUUAACCAACCCCCCUACCCUGAAGAUUUGCUUCCACACUUCCGAUAUCAUGAACAAGGCUGAGAUGAACAUUCUUGUGGGAAUGUGUAGUUGAUUUCCCUGCAUAAUCUGUGGAAGUGGACUUUGGAGUGUUUUUUUCAGUGUGUCCAUAUCUUUUUUUUUUGAGACUGAGUUUCGCUCUUGUUGCCCAGGCUGGAGUGCAAUGGCGCGAUCUCGACUCACUGCAACCUCCGCCUCCCGGGUUCAAGCGAUUCUCCUGCCUCAGCCUUCCUGAG
rnacentral:lncRNA from 1 species